CGGGUGAGUAAUGUAUGGGGAUCUGCCUGAUGGCGGGGGAUAACUACUGGAAACGGUAGCUAAUACCGCAUAACGUCGCAAGACCAAAGAGGGGACCUUCGGGCCUCUUGCCAUCGGAUGUGCCCAGAUGGGAUUAGCUAGUAGGUGGGGUAACGGCUCACCUAGGCGACGAUCCCUAGCUGGUCUGAGAGGAUGACCAGCCACACUGGAACUGAGACACGGUCCAG
rnacentral:rRNA from 1 species